AAAGCAUCACAAAGGACGACGGCGACCCAAGAAGCGUCGAGAUUGGUUCUUGGAGCAGAAAUUCCGCAUGCGAUUGAGCUCCUCCUAGAGCCCCGGUCGUGCCGCCAUGUGGGAGUCGCUCAACCUGUGCCACUUCCCGAGAGUACGUACCCUCUUCGGUUUCUGGUUUUCGUCUGUCUAUGCGUGCUUGGCUCUUUCGUCCAUGUUUUGAGCAUUUUGUUUCGGAGUUUUUGAUAAUUUGUGCCGAGUGACCGCCUUUGGAUUGAAUGGUGUCUGUGGGGCUGUCGUGUGAAAUGGCUAAGAGUGUUUUGGAAAGAUGGUUAUUCGUAUGUUUAUUCGAAUGCUGAGUGCUGCUUGGGAUCUCUUUUGCAUACCAAGAAUGCUCCCGUUUUGUAAAGUAACCCACAAUACAAAUUCUUGGAUUCUUUUCUACUGGGUAUCCUGAGCAUCGUAUGGAUUAGCAUCAUUCUUGGCUAUGACGAUGCCAUGAUUAAUUGAAGUGAUGCUAUGCGUUACCCCUUUCUCGACUUCCAGGGAUAUGGCACGGUGAAGCAUGGAAAUGUGGUUGUAGCUUUCUCUACUCCCAUCUCUUGUUAUCCAUCUCGCAGAUGUUUCUUGCCAAGCUGUUCUAAUGUGGCAUGUUGAAAAAGGCUGCUCAAUGUUAAACCAGACAUGACUUUGCUCUCCGGUAAUCUUUGUUGGCUUUGAUGCCACCUCACUGGUAGAAGGUAAUAGGAAUCGAAAUGUGCCACGGAGUGAAAUCUUAAUAAUGCACGAAGUGCAAGGUAAAGAAAAACUCAGUUUUAUCUAUAUAUAUUUAACGGGCAAGCUCCAUUACAUCAUGCAUGAAUAUAAGCAAAAAAGUCGUCAACUAGAAAACUCGAAAAGUUGGCAUGAUAACUAAGUGCAAAAUAAUAUCAUCUAUAAUACUAAAUAAUAUAUAAAAUGCUAUGGAUAAAGAAGUAAAACAAAAUUGAAUCGUAUCCAAAACUAAAAAGGCAUAUAAAAAAAUCAGCAAUAUAUUCAAUAUCAAAUUCCUAUGAUGUCUUGAUUACAUCCCACACCAAAAUUUUAGAUAUAGAAUUCUUUAUCAUAACUUCCCUUAACUAAAUGGAUGCAAAGGGAAAAUCAUAAAUACAAAGAAAUCCCUAUGUUAUGUCUUCUUUUAAUAUGCACCCACAUGGAGGUCGACGAACUUCGAGAUCUGGAGUCUUGGUCGCGAGCUCGCUGCUCAGCAUUUCAAAAUCUACUGCUCAGCCACCAGAAUGAGAGAGUGGGUGGACGCAGAGGUUGGCCAACGCAUCUUCCGCUCGUUUCUUUUUCCCUCAAGCCUUUUAAGGACUGCUCAAAUCCAAUGUCAGUAUGUAAUAGUACAAAAGAAAUUGUUAAAACAGCAACUAGUUUUUUUUUUUUUUUU
rnacentral:lncRNA from 1 species